AAACCAUGAUGAGGGCACUCUAAGAGAAGGUCUUUAAAACGUUCCAUGCAUCGAGAAAAAGAUUCAUUGGGUCGCUGUCAAAACUGGCAAAUGUCGUUCCUAAGUUU
rnacentral:snoRNA from 1 species